rnacentral:lncRNA from 1 species
CAUAAAUCUGAGAAACGUGAGUUUUGUCUUCAUUGUUUAUCUAGACAUAGGAUAGGUUGUGUGAAAAUAUUACUGAUGUUUAACGUUAAAAAUGGACCAAAAGAUUAAUGCUAAACAACAUUUGACAUGUUUGAGACGAACAUAAAUAGAUUAUUUACUAGGUUUUUUUAGCUUUUCGGCGUGAUUUUACAGUCCCCCCACCACGUUUUGUGGGAGCAUAAUGAACGCUAAGUACUUGGUGUUAUUUGGACAUAAAUUAUGAACUUUGUCAAAAGAAACCACAUUUGUUCCGGACCUGGGAUGCCUUCCGGACAUGGGAUGCCUGCCUUCUGAUGGAGAUAAUCAAAGAAUUGACAGAAAACCCCAUGGUGGUGGCUGUGGCCGUGUGCUGACCGACCAGCAGGAGUGGGCAGUGGUGUAAAUGGUGAUGGCCAGGAAUGACAUAUGGAUGUCCGAAAUUAAGCAGGCCAUUGAGGAGAGCGAUGACACCUUUGCCAACGUGGCAACCAUCAGCCUACCAGCAAUCGGCUGCCUUUUGAAGAGGCUCGAGGUAUCAAUGAAAUACAUUUACCUGGUGCCUUUUGAGAGAAACAAUGACUGGGUGAAACAAUUGCGGGCCGAGUAUGUUCAGAGGGUGAUGGUGCUUGAUGCUGCUGUGAACUUUGUUGAUGAAGCUGGUUUCAAUUUGGCCAAAACUCGGCGCCGUGGACCAAACCUCAUCGGCCAAGUGCUUGGACAAACAUCUCCAUGUGCACAGCUAUCUCUGAAGAUGGUGUGGUAGUAUGUAGGCCAUUACCUGGAUCCUACAACGCUAUACAACUCGUGUUUUUGAAUGAAAUUGAGCAGGCUUGUCAAGGUUAAGGGGUCACCAAUGCCAUUGUAUGGGACAAUGUCAGUUUCCACCAUGCAGAGGUUUCGGGACCAUUCCGGAUUCGUGACCCUAUACCUGCCCCCAUACUCUCCUUUUGUCAACCCAAUUGAGGAUUGUUUUUUAGGAUUGUUUUUUUUUUUUAGCAAGGUUUUUCCUGCGGUGCAUGAACAAUGAGGACAUUCACUGUGAUAUGGAUGAGAAUGUAUGGCCAAAUGCUCAAGACAUGCUUGAUGCUAAUUAUUGAAUUCUAAACAUUGUUUUAUUUUCAUUCAUUUAAUAUGUUUUAUUUAAUUUCUUAUAUUUGAUUACAGACAGAACACCUACACUACAUGAACAAAAGUAUGUGGACACCUGCUCAUUGAACAUUUCAUUCCAAAAUCCUGGGCAUUAAUAUGGAGUUGGUCCCCCUUUGCUGCUAUAACAGCCUUCAUUUUUCUGGGAAGGCUUUCUACUAGAUGUUGGAACAUUGCUGUGGGGACUUGCUUCCAUUCAGCCACAAGAGCAUUAGUGAAGUCGAGCACUAUUAUUGGGUAAUUAGGCCUGGCUCGCAGUCGGCGUUCCAAUUCAUCUCAAAGGUGUUCGAUGGGGUUGAGUUCAGGGCUCUGAGCAGGACAUUCAAGUUCUUCCACACUGAUCUCGACAAACAAUUUCUGCAUGGACCUUGCUUUGUGCUCAGGGGCAUUGUCAUGCUGAAACAUGAAAGGGCUUUCCCCAAACUGUUGCCACAAAUUUGGAAGCACAGAAUUGUCUAGAAUGUCAUUGUAUGCUUUAGGGUUAAGAUUUCCCUUCACUGGAACUAAGGGGUCUAGCCCGAACCAUGAAAAACAGCCCUAGACCAUUAUUCCUCCUCCACCAAACUUUACAGUUGGCACUAUGCAUUGGAGCAGCUAGCUUUCUCCUAGCAUCCACCAAACUCAGAUUAGUCUGUCGGACUGCAAGAUGGUGAACCGUGAUUCAUCACUCCAGAGAACGCGUUUCCACUGCUCCAGAGUCCAAUGGCAGCGAGAUUUACACCAGCCGAUUAUAUCUAAAUGUAACGUUUUUUUUGCAUGAAUGAUUGUAGAUGUCUUCAUUGAUCACAACCUUUGAUUACACAUUGGAUAGAUAUUAUGGAAAUUAUAGAGUUUCUGUCAAUUUUGUUGGGUAAUGUAAGUGUUUUGCCUAAUGUGAAACUGUGCACUGUAAUUUACAGUACUGUAGCAUAUUACUUUCACCACUUUUAAGGACGAUUUGAAACACAUAUCUUUCAUUGUUUGCUAUUGGAUUAACUGGGAGUUAAAACGACUACAUUGAAAAAGAUGUCAUUAUGUUGUGUUUCGGUGAUUAAACCACUGUUGUCAUUACAUUUCACAAUAACCAUGUAUUUUGAAUCAAUGGUUGUGUGGUGAGAGAUGUUUACACAAUGAAUGCCCAAUGACCAGUGACCAAUUUUGAGUAUUGUACUAAGAGUUGUGAAAAUGUACCACACACUGUACUUGUGAAAAUAAUACCAAAGCAAUUAAACUGUAAGAUGAACUGUGACCUAUUUUCAGUAAACUUUCAGUUUGUUAAAGGUAAGUAAAGUGCAGCUUGUUCUAAUGCACAAAACCUUUAAUGUAUGCAUCAAAUCAAAUCAAAUAUUAUUUUUCACAUGUGCCGAAUACCGUGAAAUGCUUACUUACAAGCCCUUAACAAACAAUGAAGUUCAAGAAAUAGAGUUAAUAAAAUAUUUACAAAAUAAACAACAACAAAAAAGUAACACAAUAAAAUGUACAUAACAAUAACAAGGCAAUAUACAGGGGACACCAGUGCCGAGUCAAUGUGCGGGGGUAUAUUUUAGUCAAGGUAUUUUAAAUAGUAGGGUUAACUUCUAUGGGCUAGGCCAUUGAAAUAUCAGGGCGGAAAAUUCAAAAACAACGAAAUGUCAUAAUUCAACUUUCUCAAACAUACAACUAUUUUACACCAUUUUAAAGAUAAACUUCUCGUUAAUCUAACCACAUUGUCCGAUUUCAAAAAGGCUUUACAGCGAAAGCAAAACAUUAGAUUAUGUUAGAAGAGUACAUAGACAAAAAUAAUCACACAGCCAUUUUCCAAGCAAGGACAUGUGUCAAUAAAACCCAAAACAGAGCUGAAUGAAGCACUAACCUUUGACGAUCUUCAUCAGAUGACACUCCUAGGACAUUAUGUUACACAAUACAUGUAUGUUUUGUUUGAUAAAGUUCAUAUUUAUAUCCAAAAACAGCAUUUUACAUUGGCG